rnacentral:rRNA from 1 species
GUGCCAGCCGCCGCGGUAAUACGUAGGGACCGAGCGUUGUCCGGAAUCAUUGGGCGUAAAGAGCGUGUAGGCGGCCACUUAAGUCCUGCGUGAAAUCCUGCGGCUCAACCGCAGGCGGUCGUGGGAAACUGGGUGGCUAGAGUGCGGGAGAGGAGAGUGGAAUUCCUGGUGUAGCGGUGGAAUGCGCAGAUAUCAGGAAGAACACCCGUGGCGAAGGCGGCUCUCUGGAACGCAACUGACGCUGAGACGCGAAAGCGUGGGGAGCAAACAGGAUUAGAUACCCUGGUAGUCC